rnacentral:lncRNA from 1 species
GGGGCAGGCAGAAUCUAAAUUCUUAAGAUCAUAGCCAAAGUGUGCAGUAAACUGUGUAAACCGCAGUGUAUUUGCCUCUAUGAUCCUGAGUGGCUUAGUUAGCUAUUUCACUGGCAGUUCCCAGGAGCAUGGAUGUAUUUAGGUCAUGAAUCCUUCACCUCCAUCAUGGAUCCUGGAAUAUGUUGAUUUAUCUUAACUGAGGCCUCCUGGAAGUGGAACCAGCCAGCCAGCCGGCCAACCAACCAAUCCCCCAGACAGGACAAAGGAAAGGAUUACUUAAGAUAAGGCUGACUUUCUCUCCAUUCACACCCUCAAGAUGGAAGUGAAGUGAAGAUUUAACGUGGAUACAUUUUACCUCUCAAGCAAAACGUAUGUAAGGGUUCAUUUGUGUACUUAAGUAAAAUAUGAAUUGUGUUUUUUUCUUAUAUUCC